GACGAACGCUGGCGGCGUGCCUAAUACAUGCAAGUCGAACGAGAGCGACCGGUGCUUGCACUGGUCAAUCUAGUGGCGAACGGGUGAGUAACACGUGGGUAACCUGCCCAUCAGAGGGGGAUAACAUCCGGAAACGGAUGCUAAAACCGCAUAGGUCUUCGAACCGCAUGGUUUGAAGAGGAAAAGAGGCGCAAGCUUCUGCUGAUGGAUGGACCCGCGGUGCAUUAGCUAGUUGGUGAGGUAACGGCUCACCAAGGCCGUGAUGCAUAGCCGACCUGAGAGGGUGAUCGGCCACAUUGGGACUGAGACACGGCCCAAACUCCUACGGGAGGCAGCAGUAGGGAAUCUUCCGCAAUGGACGCAAGUCUGACGGAGCAACGCCGCGUGAGUGAAGAAGGUUUUCGGAUCGUAAAACUCUGUUGCUAGAGAAGAACAAGUGCUAGAGUAACUGUUAGCGCCUUGACGGUAUCUAACCAGAAAGCCACGGCUAACUACGUG
rnacentral:rRNA from 1 species